rnacentral:ribozyme from 13 species
UUCUUUUUCUUUUUCUUUUUCUUUCUCCCCCUUCUCUUCUUUUUUCUCCUCCUCAGCUUUUUGUUGGGCUUUGGAAGGAGACCCUUCAAAGAGAGGAAGAACAGGAACGAAGA